ACUUUAUGCGUGCUGUCAAAAUUACCAAUGUGGAAGAAAAUGAAAAUUGGGGGUACAUAAGCUGCAUAGGAUGCGUAGAAGAAGAUUGUAAACAGGAGGGUAAAUACAAUGCAAUUGUGGUUCUAACAGCCCGGUGGCAGGAAAAAGGUACAAAAUUGUGGUUCUCUCUGGAGAUGAAAUAGAAGCAUUGAAUUUUGUUCUUCUGGAUAGGUCUGCUAGGCGCAUCGUUGGACAGACAGUAACCAAGCUGAUUUCUGAUAAUCUGCAGAAUAGUUCAAGUUCUGGAUACCCUGCAAAGAUCAGAGACAUGAUCGGCACAGAGUACACCUUUGAUAUUGAGAUAAGAAAUAAUAAUGUCGUGGAGAUAUUCUAUUUUAAUGACGCUUUUGAUACUUCUAAUUCAUCUGGAGCUUCUUUAUCAUAGGAUGCAAUAAGAUCGGGUUUGAGUAAUUCAAGCUUUGCUGAGAGCAUGAUCGACUUAUCCAAAUCAGGAGACACUCCAACUUCUGAUAAAUCAGUCUACAAAAAGAUUAAGAUUGAAGGUUGAAGAAUACUUACUGGAAUGAUCUACUGGAACUUUGCACUAGGAUGUAAUUUAUUAAGGAUGUUAUUUAAAUUCUUUUAAUACGAUGUAAUUUAUUAAGGAUGUUAUUUUUCCUAAAAAUAUAAUAAAGGCGGUGAGACCGAGGAACUAUUA